AACAUUAUUUAUGCACAGUAGCGCAUCUGAGUUACCACUGCUGGGGCAAACAGAAUUCUACUGUUUCCUGCCAGAGCUAACAUCCACCUAGAACAGAAAACUAAAGGGAAAUAGAAACAUGUGGCUUGCCCUGACCUUUGCGAUCAAGGCCCUUUCUUGUCUUUUGUCUUCCUUGGAUCGUGGUCUGACAGUGAGAGCUUAAAUCAGGAGUGAGCCUGCGCACAGCUUUCUUGGUGACAAGUCCUGCCAGACAGGUAGGAGAAACAGGGCAGCGGGUGCCAACUGUUUACCCAGCAUCGUCUGCUAUUUGGACUUCUUCCCUGAGGUGACUUUCCUGCAGGAGUCCUGCUCUAAUGCAUAGAGAGGCAGAGGAACUGAGACCGCUUGGGUCACAAGAUAAUAACAGAACCAUGCCACCGGAGUCCCUGUCAGCUGUGGCCAAAGUCUCCCUCUGACAGCUGAGCAGUGGUCAUAAAGACAGUAAUGACUUGUGUACAAUCUGGCAAGCUGGUCUCUCUCGGCAGCGGAUUAUCAAACUCAAGUGUUCAGGGCUUCAGGGUUGCCUGAAAAACCAGGAACAACUUGAAGAUAGAGAAGCAAGCAGGACUCCCCAAGUUCUGUCCUCACAUGACCCAACUGCCUCAGGCUCUGGAUUUGGAGUAAUUAGGCUUUGUAAGGCAGCCCAUCUUAGGUGUGUCUACUUGCAUCCUAGUUUCUGUUGUUACAUUACACAAGUGACCCUGGGAUGCUCUGCACUUCGGAGCAUUCCUGCUUGCUAUUCGUCGCUGUCACUAUGUGCCUCAGCCUCGAUUACUACAGAGGUGAAUGUAAAUGGUUCCUGUGAUGUCUAUCCCUCCAGUUAUCUUCUGACUUACAAAGGUGAUAUCCCUUCAUCCCUGGAGGUGCUUCAGCCUAUUGGCUGCACCCAGAAGUACAGCAUGAUACAGCACAGGGCAGGCUUGCUGUCAGGACUGAGUUCAUUCUCCACACUCACCUGAAACUUCUGCUCUGAGAUGAAGUCUCGGUCUCGAAGGCUCAUGAGGAAAGGAAACGGCUUGGUGAUGGCACUUGCGAUCUCCACCUUGUUUUCUUUGAAGUGCUUGAACAUGAGCUGAUAGUCAUCUGACUCCUCUUCAUUCUGGUCCUCUGGGAUUGUCCUAGGGGAUAGAUUCCAUGCAGAAGUAGAUACUGGCUUACAAGAUGCCACCAAUGGCUGGAUAAUUACUGACAUGAAGAAUGGUCUGCUAAUAUAAAAUUAAAAAUUUAAACAUCUCAUUUAGUGAUGCAAGUUCUGGUGCUUUGGGUUUGAUUUGCUUGGGACAGGGUUAUCAUCUGUAAGUCUGGCUUGCCUAAAAGUUACUUUGUAGACAAGGCUAUCCUUACACACAGAUUUCACCUGCCUCUGCUGCCUGAGUGCUCAGAUUUAAAUCAUGUUCCAUCAUGUCCAGUACUGUGAUUAGUUUUAAUUGUCAACCUGACACAAUCUAUAAUCAUCUUGGAUUGUAUGAGUCUUAAUAAAGGAUUGUCUAGAUUA